rnacentral:lncRNA from 1 species
CAUUUGAUCAGCAGUUUACUCAUUCCAGGCACUUCCACAGGUACCUUCACCAGAGUCUCACAGGGAGGAGGUGCUAAAACUGAGAUUAUCAACCUUUUUCACAGAUGAGAAAACUGAGGCCCUCGUGGGGCUUUACAGGCGCCUAUUAGAAGACAAGCACUCCACCCAAAGGUGUCUGCCCAGCAGCCAGAACUCUCUAAGUGCGACACAGAGGCAGCACCAGCCUCAUCUGCAGUGAGCAUCAAAGGCCUCCCUGGGGAAGCCCUCAGCACAGCCCCUAAGGGUGGGAAGGAGUAGGCAGUAUGGAAGUGGUGGAGAGGUGGUCAAACCCUCUGAGAAGACACCACAGUGAUGGAAACACAGCAGGACACAAGCUCCUGCUUGACUUGCAUCCAUCUGCCAUGGACCUGCAGAUGGAACUGCCAUGCAGCACCUACAGACCUCAGUGCAGAUUCUCAGC